GAAAAGGGUGUUUGCCGCUUACAUGGCACAUUGGCCAAAUUGGUCAGUGGGGUAUGGCAAUCAAGACAUACCGAACAUGUAAUUUUUGACCACAGGGGCUGUUGGUAGCCAAGUGCUCCGACGCCUCU